rnacentral:rRNA from 1 species
GGAUGAGUAAAGGGGCGCACGGGUGAGUAACGCGUGGAUAAUCUACCCUUUAAUCGGGAAUAACUUAUCGAAAGGUGAACUAAUACCGGAUAAUAUCCCGAUUUCUUCGGCGAUCGGGAUCAAAGAAGGCCUCUGCUUGCUAGCUUUCACUGAGCGAUGAGUCCGCGUACCAUUAGCUAGUUGGCAGGGUAAUGGCCUACCAAGGUUAUGAUGGUUAGCUGGUCUGAGAGGAUGAUCAGCCACACUGGAACUGAAACACGGUCCAGACUCCUACGGGAGGCAUCAGUGAGGAAUAUUGCGCAAUGGGGGCAACCCUGACGCAGCAACGCCGCGUGAGUGAGGAAGGUUUUCGGAUUGUAAAGCUCUGUCGAGCGGAAAGAAGUGCAUGGUGGUUAAUAUCCAUCAUGCUUGACGGUACCGCUAAAGGAAGCACCGGCUAACUCG